CUGCGGAAGGAUCAUUACCGAGUGAGGGCCCUCUGGGUCCAACCUCCCACCCGUGUUUAUUUUACCUUGUUGCUUCGGCGGGCCCGCCUUAACUGGCCGCCGGGGGGCUUACGCCCCCGGGCCCGCGCCCGCCGAAGACACCCUCGAACUCUGUCUGAAGAUUGAAGUCUGAGUGAAAAUAUAAAUUAUUUAAAACUUUCAACAACGGAUCUCUUGGUUCCGGCAUCGAUGAAGAACGCAGCGAAAUGCGAUACGUAAUGUGAAUUGCAAAUUCAGUGAAUCAUCGAGUCUUUGAACGCACAUUGCGCCCCCUGGUAUUCCGGGGGGCAUGCCUGUCCGAGCGUCAUUGCUGCCCUCAAGCCCGGCUUGUGUGUUGGGCCCCGUCCCCCGAUCUCCGGGGGACGGGCCCGAAAGGCAGCGGCGGCACCGCGUCCGGUCCUCGAGCGUAUGGGGCUUUGUCACCCGCUCUGUAGGCCCGGCCGGCGCUUGCCGAUCAACCCAAAUUUUUAUCCAGGUUGACCUCGGAUCAGGUAGGGAUACCCGCUGAACUUAAGCAUAUCAAUA
rnacentral:rRNA from 1 species